GACUUAUUCUCAGUUCAUGCCUCAUGACCAGAAUUGAUUGAUCGCCUCCCAAGUGAAGAGCCUCUGCCUGCACGUCUUACUGCACCCACUUCCUCUCUCAGCACUGCUCCCCCAAAUGCUGGUCUGUCUCUGCUCCUGCUGUCCUUGAACUCCCUCCUGGCUGUGUGACAGUUCCUCACGCAGACACCAGGCUGUAGCCAACUGAGCAGCGGGAGCUUGGAGCCUGGCCCUAUAUCUUCAGGCAUCUGAUCAUUUCACAUAAGAGAGGCACCCUGCCAAUGUCUGCGAGGCUGGACAUGUAUGGCAGGAUCAUCCGCCAGAGUGAGACAGAGCCUUUUCUGCCCCUUCUGCUGGCCAAGGGGCCUUGAGGCUGAAACAGGUCUCCCCACAUUUGUGCUGGACUGACCCGCUGCCCUUGGGCCUUUGUUGGGUAGGCAGUUAAUGUGUACAGGCUAUCUCCUGCUUCCAACCCCUCGGCAUUUUUGUCCUCUAUCCCAGCAAAUCUGAGGGCGGGUAGAAAAGAACUUGCAAACUCUUAGAAGAGUCUUUGUUUCAAGGGAGGAGCAGCUUAGAGAUGUACGGCCCUGCAAAAAUGAAACCAAGUGAGCAAAACUCAACCCAAAAGUCAUCAACAUUCAAAAUAAUACCAGAGCAUGAUAGUCUUUUUUUUUCCAGAUAUUAGCUGUGCUCUAUUUUCUGUGGUGAAGACCCCCAAAUCUCUCUCCAGUGGAAGAAACCUUCAUUUCUUCCAGCCUCAACAGACCCUAUAUCCAGAACUGUUUGCCAUUUUUCAGAUUCUUUAAAAGACUUAAUUUGUUUAAAGGGAAAAAGAUUUUCCUAAAGAAUCUGGCUACUAAGGACCUAAUUCAGUGCCAUGAUUUUCUGGCAAUCCAGAUAUUCACAGACAUGGUCAUGGCGAUGAUGAAGGCAAAGAAAGGGCUUAAAGGUAAGAGGAGAGAGAUGCUUUCUCCCUCUCCUUCUGGGGAUCUCUGAGCUCUCACCCCUCACCCCUCCAGUAGGCUGUGGGUUUGGUGCUGCAGCCUAGGUGGCUUCACCACCUGGAUGCUUCUGGAAGCUGACAUAUUCUCUUUCUGUGGUGUGUGAGUUAGCCAACUAUUUCCAAAUACAGGUGGCCCUUGAACCAAGUGGGGUUAAGGUAGACCAUGCCCUGUGUAAUCAAAUAUCUGUGUAUCACUUUUGAUUUCCCAAAAACUUAACUACUUAGUAGCUUACUGUUGACUGGAAGACUUGCUGAUAAUAUAAAGAGUCAAUUAACACAUAUUUUAUAUGUCAUAUGUAUUAUACACUGUAUUCUUACAAUAAAGUAAGCUAGAGAAAGGAAGAUCUUAUUAAAAUCAUAGGGAAGAAAAAA